AGAGUUUGAUCCUGGCUCAGGAUGAACGCUAGCGACAGGCUUAACACAUGCAAGUCGAGGGGCAGCAUAAAAGUAGCAAUACUUUGGUGGCGACCGGCGCACGGGUGAGUAACGCGUAUGCAACCUACCUAUCAGAGGGGGAUAACCCGGCGAAAGUCGGACUAAUACCGCAUAAAACAGGGGCACCGCAUGGUGAUAUUUGUUAAAAAUUUAUUGCUGAUAGAUGGGCAUGCGUUCCAUUAGGUAGUUGGAGAGGUAACGGCUCACCAAGCCUACGAUGGAUAGGGGAACUGAGAGGUUGGUCCCCCACACUGGCACUGAGACACGGACCAGACUCCUACGGGAGGCAGCAGUGAGGAAUAUUGGUCAAUGGGCGCAAUGCCUGAACCAGCCAAGUAGCGUGAAGGAAGACUGCCCUUAGGGUUGUAAACUUCUUUUAUAAGGGAAUAACGAUAGCAACGAGUUGCUAUUUGCAUGUACCUUACGAAUAAGGAUCGGCUAACUCCGUGCCAGCAGCCGCGGUAAUACGGAGGAUCCAAGCGUUAUCCGGAUUUAUUGGGUUUAAAGGGUGCGUAGGCGGGAAAGGAAGUCAGUUGUGAAAUUUUAUGGCUCAACCAUAAACUUGCAGUUGAAACUCUUUUUCUUGAGUACACAUGAGGUGGGCGGAAUUUGUGGUGUAGCGGUGAAAUGCAUAGAUAUCACAAGGAACUCCAAUUGCGAAGGCAGCUCACUGGGGUGUAACUGACGCUAAUGCACGAAGGUGUGGGUAUCAAACAGGAUUAGAUACCCUGGUAGUCCACACAGUAAACUAUGAAUACUCGCUGUUUGCGAUACACAGUAAGCGGCUAAGCGAAAGCAUUAAGUAUUCCACCUGGGGAGUACGUCGGCAACGAUGAAACUCAAAGGAAUUGACGGGGGCCCGCACAAGCGGAGGAACAUGUGGUUUAAUUCGAUGAUACGCGAGGAACCUUACCUGGGCUUGAAUUGCAACUGAUAGCUUUUGAAAGAGAGUUUUUCUUCGGAACAGUUGUGAAGGUGCUGCAUGGUUGUCGUCAGCUCGUGCCGUGAGGUGUCGGCUUAAGUGCCAUAACGAGCGCAACCCUUAUUGCUAGUUGCUAACAGAUUAUGCUGAGGACUCUAGUGAGACUGCCGUCGUAAGAUGUGAGGAAGGAGGGGAUGACGUCAAAUCAGCACGGCCCUUAUGUCCAGGGCGACACACGUGUUACAAUGGGAGGAUCAACGGGCAGCUACCUAGCGAUAGGAUGCUAAUCUCUAAACCCUCUCUCAGUUCGGAUUGAAGUCUGCAAUUCGACUUCAUGAAGCUGGAUUCGCUAGUAAUCGCGCAUCAGCCACGGCGCGGUGAAUACGUUCCCGGGCCUUGUACACACCGCCCGUCAAGCCAUGGAAGCCGAGGGUACCUGAAGUAUGUAACCGCAAGGAGCGUCCUAGGGUAAGAUCGGUGACUGGGGCUAAGUCGUAACAAGGUA
rnacentral:rRNA from 1 species